rnacentral:rRNA from 1 species
GCAGUCGACGGCAGCACAGUGUAGCAAUACAUGGGUGGCGAGUGGCGCACGGGUGCGUAACACGUAUGCAAUUUACCCAUAACUGGGGGAUAGCCCUCCGAAAGGAGGAUUAAUACCCCAUAACCCAGCGAGGUGGCAUCACUUUUCUGGUAAAUCUCCGGAGGUUAUGGAUGAGCAUGCGUCCGAUUAGCUAGUUGGUGAGGUAACGGCUCACCAAGGCAACGAUCGGUAGGGGGUCUGAGAGGAUGAUCCCCCACACGGGUACUGAGACACGGACCCGACUCCUACGGGAGGCAGCAGUAAGGAAUAUUGGACAAUGGAGGCAACUCUGAUCCAGCCAUGCCGCGUGAAGGAUGAAGGCGCUACGCGUUGUAAACUUCUUUUCUCUUAGAAAAAACUACUGGUUUCGUACCGGUACUGAUUGUACAAGAGGAAUAAGCAUCGGCUAACUUCGUGCCAGCAGCCGCGGUAAUACGAAGGAUGCAAGCGUUAUCCGGAUUCACUGGGUUUAAAGGGUGUGCAGGUGGGGUAAUAAGUCAGUGGUGAAAGCCCCCGACUCAAUCGGGGAACUGCCAUAGAUACUGUUAUUCUUGAGUGUAGUUGAGGCGGAUGGAAUAUGACAUGUAGCGGUGAAAUGCUUAGAUAUGUCAUAGAACACCGAUCGCGAAGGCAGUCCGCCAAACUAUUACUGACACUGAAACACGAAAGUGCGGGGAUCAAACAGGAUUAGAUACCCUGGUAGUCCGCACCGUANACGAUGAUCACUCGUUGUUGGCGAUACACAGUCAGCGACUAAGCGAAAGCAUUAAGUGAUCCACCUGGGAAGUACGACCGCAAGGUUGAAACUCAAAGGAAUUGACGGGGGCCCGCACAAGCGGAGGAGCAUG